CCCUUAGAUGUUCUGGGCCGCACGCGCGCUACACUGAUGCAUUCAACGAGCCUAUCCUUGACCGACAGGUCCGGGUAAUCUUUGAAUCUGCAUCGUGACGGGGAUAGAUUAUUGCAAUUAUUAAUCUUCAACGAGGAAUGCCUAGUAGGCGCAAGUCAUCAGCUUGCGUCGAUUACGUCCCUGCCCUUUGUACACACCGCCCGUCGCUACUACAGAGUGCCCGUGUCCAGGAAACGGUCGGACCUGUGCGGCCUCUCCGGGCGACCGGAGGGCCGUUACGGGGAAGACCCUUUAUUUGACGCGGGUCGAUGAAGUAAAAGUCGUAACA
rnacentral:rRNA from 1 species